GCAGUGCGGGUGACGGCCGCUCAUACGGCAGAAGCCCAGGCCGAAGCCGGGCGGGAAGCGGGCGAGGGUGCAGUUGCGGCGGUGGCGGCGGCCUUGGCCCCCAGCGGCUUCCUCGGCCUCCCGGCGCCCUUCAGCGAGGAAGGGCUGGAGGAAAAGCCAGACGGGGCCCUGGCUGCCCAGCCUCCGCCUUCCCAGGCCCUGCUGACAGCAGGCUCGUUGCAGAUGAGGACGAUGUGCACAGAUGCGGCCGCUGCCAGGCAGAGUUCACCGCCUGGAGGAUUUUGUUCAGCACAAGAUUCAGAAGGCCUGCCAGCGGGCCCCUCCGGAGGCCCUGCCUGCCACCCCUGCCACCACAGUGUUGCUGGGCCAGGAGGUGGUGCCGGCAGCACCAGGCCCAGAGGAGCCCAUCACUGUGGCCCACAUCGUGGUGGAGGCGGCCUCCCUGGCAGCAGACAUCAGCCACGCAUCUGACCUCGUUGGUGGUGGGCACAUCAAAGAGGUCAUCGUGGCUGCUGAGGCGGAGCUGGGAGACGGUGAGAUGGCACAGGCCCCGGGCAGCCCCC
rnacentral:lncRNA from 1 species